UACGUAGGGGGCAAGCGUUGUCCGGAUUUAUUGGGCGUAAAGAGCGUGUAGGCGGCCAGACAGGUCAGCUGUGAAAACUCGAGGCUCAACCUCGAGAUGUCGGUUGAAACCCGUCUGGCUAGAGUCCGGAAGAGGAGAGUGGAAUUCCCCGGUGUAGCGGUGAAAUGCGCAGAUAUCGGGAAGAACACCCGUGGCGAAGGCGGUUCUCUGGGACGGUACUGACGCUGAGACGCGAAAGCGUGGGGAGCGAACAGG
rnacentral:rRNA from 1 species